rnacentral:lncRNA from 1 species
UAUGUAAGCCACUGUGCAGUGCUUUUUCUCUCUGACUGAACUGAGUAAAGGGUCUCCAAGUACUCAGACUCCUUGAUGCACUGAUGGUGCUAAAAGCACCAUGGGUUUCGUAUGGAGUCACAGUUCUUGGGGGUGUUCAAGAACUGUGGAGAUGUGGCACUGAGGGCCAUGGUCAGUGGGGGUAGAUUGGAACUGGUCCAACCUUAAUGACUCUGGGAUUCUAUAUUGCAAAAUGUGAGCUCUUACUUAAAAGCUGGAUUCCCCCAGAUUGCUGCUUCUGCUUAGUGCUUUUCUUCCUACUUAUCCUGGGCACCAAGAAACCCCAAUAUCCAGUUCAGUGUCACUUCUGCUGCUCUGCGUGGGGGCUGGUGGAGGACUGCACCCUGAGAGCAGACUUAUUUGGGAGCUUGUUGAAUCAGGGAAGAAUGCUGGCUUUAUGAAAAGGAGCUCUAAAGGACUCGGGAAGCAGUAUAAGCUCUGUUUCCAGUUGAGUAGAUUGAGUUACACUUUGGGCUGCAGAGGGAGUAAAAUCUUCUGCCACUGGUCUAGAUGUAUGUCCACAUGGGGUGGGCCUGCCUUCUGCCUAGGGAUGAGCUGUGGUGCUGGAGCUCUUUGGUCUCUGCUCCACCCAUUUGUGGGAUGGCAGUGGUGCAGCCUCUGAGGGCUGCUUGGGGAGCAAUGUGUUUUGCAUAUAGAGCACCUGGGAGCACUAAAUGAUGACUUACAUUGGGCUUUAUGAAAGUAAAGACUCAUUUUUGUCUUGGAUAUGACUCAACAAAUGGAAGCGAUCAUCUCCUAGCUCUCUGGAAGGGGAAUUGGAGCAUGGGAGCUGGGUUGUCGCGGCACAGCAUCCAUAGUCCUGCAUCCAUCCCAUCCAUAGGAGCUGAGAUGACAACAGGCAGGUUCCUGCUGCAGCUCACUUGCUGGAGGAGCAGAACCUUUGCUAAAGAUGAGGUGCUGGAUGCUCAGCGCUUUUCCCUUUCCUAUGGCUGAAUGUCGGCUGAUGCUGUUUGCUAAACAAGAGUGCCGGUGGCAGAGGAAUUAGAAGAAAUCCCUUCUUAAUUGGAAACAGGACAAAUCCAGGCAAACGGGUGCUGAGCCAGCAACAGCAUGGGACCAGCUCGCCUUCUGUGGGUAUCAUUGAAAUUCAGCAUCCUUCACUGCCUCCAACAUUGAGGUCCUGCAGGUAUGACUUUGCUUCAUGUGGAUCUCCAAAGUUGCUAAAGAUGCUAAUGAACCUCUACUGUAAGGUCUGAAAUCAUCCAGGAUGACAGCAGAUCUUUCCCAAAGGCUGCCCAGGUCAGGAAGGGGGGGAACUGCAGAGGCAAAGCAGGAGGAAGUAAGAAGGAUGCUUGUCCCAGUGCCCUACUCAACUACCUUCUCUGGCGUGGCUUUGAGGGGGGCCCAGAGGUGGAAGGAGUGGAAAUCUGGCUCCAGGUGGCAGUCCUGAUUUGCAUGUCCACUCUUUGGAGCUCCCAAGCACCUCCUUAGGCAGUUGACCUGAUCACAGGUAGUGGGGUACUGAGCCACGUUGGAGCCUUGCUAUUGUAGCUGCAGCGUACUCUGGGGAGAAAAAUAUGGAAGGGGGAGGCUUGUAUCUCCUUGGAAAAAGCUGGGGUGUGCAUUUGGCUUUCUCCUGAGUCUUCUUGUUUUGCCUCUGAGCUGCCCCCUCCUCAUGCAUUCCUGCACAAACCCCCUUUGUUUGCUGCCCUCAGUCAGGAUCCAGGCAGCAACAGCCCAGAUGUUCCCUAUCAAACUCAGAGCCAUGCCAACAAACUUUGGCACACAUGAAAGUGUGCUGAGGAAUGGGCCUCUGCAAAUACCAUUCUUUCCCCCCUUCCCAUUCCUGCAAGUAUUUUUAAAUGUUAAUGGCUUCCAUGCCGCAACAGCCCAUGGGGGACUGCAAAUUAAUGGUGAGGGGCAAAUCUGUCCCAACUUUGAAACCCUGGCCCUCGUUCCUGCAGUGUGGUUUUCCCGUGGGUGAUGGUGCAUGGAGGGAGCAGACACAGCUCAGCCUGUAGAGGAGAAAUCCCAGUAAAACUGGAUGAUUGUGUGAGUCCAAUGGAUAGUCUCUGCCCAUUGGUGCUGUUGUUCCUUUCCCACCUCCCCACACUGACAGGCUAAGGAGGUGAUGAAUGAGGGUGGUGAACCCCUCACCCUUGAUCAGAGAUGAUCUCCUUGAGGAAUGCAUCCAGGUUUCCAUCCUGGAACAGGACCCUUCUCUUUUUGCACAUGAAGGGAUGGUGCAAGCCGUAGGUCCUUGUCUCAGACAUGGGCUUGGAGAUAAAUGGAACUUGAAGGAAAGGCGAAGGUAAAGAGGCAAGAAAAGAAAAAAUGGUCUGAGCUGAUGAAAGCUGCUUUCUUGCUCUGGAGAUGGAGAAUGGGGAGGUGACAUGGUUAUUCACAGUAGGUUUGCAGGGACUGCUUCUAGAAAGCAGGAGCUGAGCACCAGCUCUUGGUUCCCUUCAUUAAGGAGGGAAGGCAGCACACUAAAUUUGCCAGUAAAAUAGUAAUAAUAAUAAUAAAAAAAAAUCCAUAGCUCUUAAACUAUCCUGUUUAAAAAUAAUAAAAAUUAAGAGGUACUUGCCAUUUCACGUCGUCUGGUUUAGCUGCAGGGAGCAACAUGGCCCUGAGAGCUAACCUGCUGGAGCAGAUCCCCACUGUGUUCAAAGGCAGUGGGGAGACCUGAGUUUGCUUUCAGGCUGGGGCUGCUGAGGGUUUUGAAGCCCUGAGCAGGUUUUCAAAGAUCUUUUUUUUUUUCAUGGCCAAGCAGUCUGGGGGAAAAAUAUAUGGCUGAAUUGGCAUGAAGGGAAGGAUCCAGAUGCUCCCUGGGUUACACUGUGGCCUCUGCAGAAAGGCUGCAGUCUUGGGCUUCCUAUAAAACCUGGAGGAGAAAGGUCCUGUCUGUGAGCACAGACAGUCUGCUUCCCUAAGCGAGGCCGAUUCCAACAGUUGAUCUUCAUUUAAUGCUCCCAAGCCAGAUGAAAAAAUGCAGACAAUCUUAGUGUGUAUGUAAGGGGGUUUCUAGUUGCUGGUGCACAGGUGUUGCUACACAGAUGAUGUGGAAGUACCCUGAUGUAUGCUGGCUAAAUAACCCUGCUUUUCCAAGGUUAUCGUGUUGGAUUAAAAGGUAAUGCUGGCUUGGUCUCAGCUGCAAAGCUCGGGGUAUCAGUUUUGUCCUCUUCAACCCAUCUUCAGUCUGUUUGGGAGCACAUUGCUACACUGAGCACGCAGACAGGAAUUGCGGAGCCUUUCCUCCUGCUAGGAGAGGAAUCUGGAAACGAUUACAAGCUGCUCAUGCUUAAUCAUUGGGUGAAUCUUAAAUGCCUGGCUUAAUAUUUUGCAGGACUGAAGAUGGCAUCUGAAUUUUUGUGGUGUGCAGGUUACAUGGCAGAGCAUGUGGGCCUGGAUGGUUUUGUUGUGUGUGUUUGAGGAGCAGCUGGUCCUGAGGACCCCAUGCUUCCUCUGAAGUCUAGGUACAAUUUCAAAGGAAACCCAAAAUGCAAAGGGGAGGGGGGUGGAAAAUGGAACUGUUUUGUCUGGUAUUUGUGCAAACUGGCAGCUCCGCCAUGUUCUCGUGAGCCUUACUGAGUCUGGUCAUUUCUACUUCAAACUGAAUUAGAGAGUGUUACAUGAGUUAAAAAA